GGCGGGCGGCGUGGGGCGGCGGGCAGUCGGGCCCUUGGGCACCCCCUGGCAAGCCGCGGCACUCAGUUCCGCGCUCGAUGCCCUCCGACCCUUCCACUGCCCCUCGUGGGGCCCAUUACGGGCCUCUUCGAUUGGGAGUUCGAGACUGCGUACCAGCCUGAGGAUGGGACACCACCAAAAACCUGCACUGCCCCUUGUGCCUCGGAAACAGUUUGAAAGUCCACUUGUUGCGGCUGGCUGAGCUCAUCAAGUGUGCUUUUGGAAGCUAUCCUCAGAGAAGGUUCUUAAGGAUUGGUUUUCUGUGAGGUUUGGGAAUUUGGGUAAUUGUGAGACAUAGUGGAAGAAAGCACAUUUUUAACACCACGGGAAUUCGAGUCAUUGUGAGAAAUGGUUGGAAGUGCAGCCCAGAAGGAGCGGGCAAGUUUCCCUGGUGGGGUAGUUAGAAGAAAGCUGUUUGUAUAGAAAUGGGAUCAGCAGCAGGGGGCUGUCCCUGCCUGUGAUAUUGGAAGUCUGGCUUUUAAAACACACCUUAAAUCCAUACAUACUCUGUGAUCUUUGUAAGAACUAACACCAAAGGCAGGUGGUAUUCAUUCAGGACCCCAGUUGGAUAGGCCUGGGUGGUUAGCCAUUUUGUCCCAGAGGUACUUUCCAACCUCUGAAUCCCAUGAUCUCACUGAACUAGAGGAAAACCGGCGGCUUGAAGGGAAUUGUGGGCAGUUCUCAGAUUCUUAGUUACAAAGGAUGGGCAGUUGUCAUCUUGCUGCUGCUCACAUACUCUGCCCAGUAUUGAGCAUCCUGUGAUGCACUCAGCUAGUGUUCAUCUAACUUGUGGGGAGCUGCAGGCAAACCCUGCUAGGGCUAAAUGCUUGGUUGUAUCUGGCUAGAGCCAGAUUUACGAUAGCCAGCGGCUUGAUGUUUAUAAUGCACCGUGUUUUCUGCUCGAAUGGAAAACCAAAUAAUCAUGCAAAUGACAGUUUUUUACUGGAAGCCUUGAGACAUCAGGCCGACACUUUUUGCUAAGAGUUUUCCUUUGGGCCCUUGCGGGCACUGAUUGCUGGUGGAGGUGCGGUAUCAGCUUUGAGGUCCAUAUCCUUUAAGCUUGGAGAUGCAAAUGUUUUUGAGCACACUGUCUUUGGAGGUAAGGCGGGAGGAAUAUUUUUAGCAUGGCCCAGAGCAAUGGGGCAGUUACAGCCAUGAGUCAUAAUUACAGGGAAAUUGCUCUUGGGGUGAAAUGUUCUUGUGGGAGGUGUCCUCAUAGCCUGUGGUACAGAGAGCCAACGCAUGCUGCUGUGGCUUUAGUUUUUAUGGUGCGUUUUAAUUUAACUUCUAGUAAGCAUUGGAGAGCUUGCUGAGGCGGAAGUCUUUUGUUUGGAAUGAUUCCAUUUUUUUUCUUCUCAAAAAUGUAAAGUUGGCUCAGCAGUAUGUUCAUCUAUUAAUUUUAGUAUCUUGGGUCAGAAGGAUGAAGAACUGCUUGUACUAAUUGGUCUUUAAGGAACCUUCCAGUGUAAUGACAGUGGUCUGCCUUUUUUAUUUUUUAAUACGUGUUUUCAUAACAUUUAGUAGCUUGAGAAAACUACUAGUUAAAGUAGAGAUUGACAAAGGAAAUAAGCUUUUUCAGUAGAAGGGAUUGCCAACCCUUUUACUGUACUAUAAAUGUGUGAACCAAUUAGGGAAAGUUAGGUUAGAUAAUUGUUGCAAAAGGUGUGUGGAGAUAGUUAACAGGCUUGAUUAGAUGAGCUUACUCGGCCAUGUGGCUUUCUUGGUUCCUACAAUUUCCAGAUCACCGUGCUCCCAGUUCCUUUUGAAGAGCUGCUGCAUCAUAAUACGGCAAUAAUGUACAAUUUGUCUUAGUGACUGAGGUGGAAGACCAUGUUUUCACCACCCCCAUUUUGUUUACCACGGUGAAUUAGUAUCUGGAGAAAAUACAUUUAAAAAUUAUUUUCAUUGUAUUUCCUUGCACAUGCCAGGAGCAUGCCUCCAUGGUCUUUUUAUUUUAGUUUUUCUAGACUUUCAUACAUGAGAAGUGGAUUUAAGUUACUUACUUCCUCAGUUAUUUAUGCUUCUGUGAUUGUGUGAGUCUGUGUGUGUGGAUGCAUGGAUGCAUGGAUGCCCCAGGAGCUGGAGUUACGGGUGGUUGUGAACUGCCUGAUGCGGAUACUGAACUUGGAUCCUCGGGAAAAGCAGCCUGAGUUCUCAGCAGCCUAGCAGUCUUUUUAGCCUUCUGCUAGGUUCUUCUUUUUGAAGGCAUUGUGCUAGGGCAUCGUCGUCGUGCAGUGAGGAACACGGCAAAGCACAUAUACUAAAAGGACGUGAUCUCCAAUUGGCAGCCCUCCCUAGGGAAUGCAGUGUCUAUAAAAAUGAAUUUUCCUGUGCUUGAAGUUCGCUUGCUUUAUUUUUCCGAGGCAAUGGGAAUAUCCCACCCCUGUGUUCUUAAGCAAGGUAUAGAAGAGAAAGUAAAAUUUAACCUGUUUUGCUGACUCGGUGUCCUGUUGCUGAGAUAAAUGGGCUCUGGCAAGAGCAGCUUAAGGAAGAGGGCUUUAUUUGGCUCUCAGUUCAGGUUAUAGUUCAUCCCUACUGGGAAGUCACAGUGACACAGGCAGCUGCUUACAUCAUGUCCCACGUCAGAAGGGACAGUGAGUGAAUGCUACAGCACACCUCUGUCACCAUUUUACCAUCCAGCAUCCCUUUCCAGGAGUAACCUGCAUACAGUUAAGAAGGGUCUUCAUACUUCAAGAAUGUCAUCAAUAGAGACUGCCUGAGGACCACCUGGAAGAUUUUGUCAACUUGAAAACACCAGUGACACUGCAUUGUCAUUUCAGAAGUGUUGAUACACCCUAAGCUUUAAAAAAAAUUUUUUAAAAAGAGAUUUUAUUUAUUUUAUGUAUGUGAGUACACCAUCACUAUCCUCCGACACACCAGAAGAGGGCCUUGAAUCUCAUUACAGAUGGUUGUGAGCCACCAUGUAGUUGUUGGGAUUUGAACUCAGGACCUCUGGAAGAGCAGUCAGUGCUCUUAACCACUGAGCCAUCUCUCUAGCCCUGAACCCUAAAAGCCUUCUAUCAGUUUUUAAGAUGAGGUACUGUCUUGGUCCUGUCUGAUCUUGGCAAACGUGAACCAAUGAAUUGUUUCACAGCUGAUGGUCAGAGUGUUUUCAUGGUGACGAGUUUCAUGUAGGCCACUCACACAGUGUUGUGACUUAAUAGUGACGGAAAGAGUUAGGAACAGUCACACUGCUUCCAGCAUGGCCGCUAUGUUAUUAGUUGGUGAACCGCUAUCUAUUAGUCGCAUGCUUGGGUUUGGCUUGCAAGAGGAGUGCGAGGCCAGCAUUGAGAAUAGCCAUCCCUCUUGGUUGGCAAAGUCUUCUUCCAACCGAGUCUGAUAGCUUUAUGCUUUCAUUGCUGAGGAAAUGUUAGAUGAAUGGCUGAGGUGGAUAGCAUUUCUGCCUUAGCCAUAUAGCCCCACAGAAGGGAAGGGGAGUGGGUGGGAACCUGCCCUCUCUGUAGGUAGUUAUAUUUACAUAAACGUGGGGAUUUCUGUAGCUUUCCCUGUCUCCAAGUGCAUUUGCCUAAAGGUAACAUCUAUCAGGAAAGGGAGGGCACAAACAUGCUUGAGAGGUGGCCAACUUGUGCAGUCACCUAUUUCGAAGAAAAAUUUUAAAGACCUACUGGGAUGAGAACAUUUACUCUAGGUUAGCCUCCAGGAGUGGAAGCAGAACUGAGCCAACCCUCUGUUUCCUGUGUGUUUUUUUCCAUUAUGAGAUGAGUGGCCUUAAUCUGAAGUGCUCCCAAACCCAAAGGAAUUUAAGUGCUGAAGGGACACUCACAAGUGGAAGCCGCCACACCGGACUUCACUGAUAGGACCUGGUCAGAAACAAACCGUUGGUCUAUAACGUGGCCUUUGGGUGAUGUUGGUCUAUAACGUGGCCUUAGGGUGAUGUUGGUCUAUAACGUGGCCUUUAGGUGAUGUGGAUGGCUGAGCAUGAGCUUCCUGUUUAGAUUUGGGCCCCCGGUCUCCGCAUAUCUCAUAUAUGUACAUGUGCAAAUCCAAAGUCUGACAUUGUCGGAACACUGCCGCUUCCAGACAUUUGGGAAAGAAAUGCUAGUUCUCCAUUAUGAUCUGUGCUCUCGGAGGAAAGGGGGCGGUUGUGCUGUGCUUGGGUGGAGAUGUGCUUAUGGUCUUUUUGGUUUGCUAAAGAGAAAGGUGUGAGCCGGAACAAAAAUAGUCCUUCCUUAUCUAUGUAGAGAUCGCAGGACAUUUUGGGCAAAGGCUGACCAUUAAAAA